CAAGAAAUUCAUUUCAAAAACCCAUUAACACACUCUCUCUCUAAAACUCAGCCGAACACACCCCUCUAGCAUAUUAUUUUGAAAAUUCUUGACCUUUUCAUGGAGAUUCAAGCUCAUUCUAAGGUGAUUACAAGGCCAUUUGAAGGUUUGAAGGUGAUUCCAAGGAGUUUCAAGCAAAAACCAAGCUUUAUAUCAUCUUUUUAAUCAAAAACCCACUUGAAUCUUGAGGGUACUUGAGUUCGGCUUCGGGAAUUAUGGCGUAUCUUGUGGUUGUUGAUGCAUGUUUUGUCACUUAAAUAUGUUGGACUAAUUUUAAAACUUUCUGGGAUAAAUGUAAUAAGAUCCACAAGGAUCAAAGACAAUUUAAACUAUGUGGUGGUUGUGUCAUGUUAUGGGACGUCAUACUUAAAAACUUAUGUUUUAAUUAA